CAGCAAAAUAUUUCUGAAAUUGUGUGUGUGUGUUUUUCUUCUAAUUUAAUGUGCCAGACAAGCCUCCCUGUAAUUAAAACCAGAAACAAGGACCAGACUUAGACAGAGAUUUGAAGGCUGUAAAAUUCUAGGACAGGUUUAUGUAAAGCAAUUAAAAAGGGAGUUAAAAAUUGUUAAAAAAUUAAACACUAAUUACUUUUUUUUUCUCCUCUUAUUUCUGCUGAGCUGUUUUGGCCGUGGAGCUCGAAGAACGGUAUAAAAAGGAGAAAGUUUUGCCUCGUUGCUGAUCGGGACCUUGUUCAUCACAGAUCCUGGACUCUAACCUGGACUGAGACACCACGGUCGGUGGAUAACAUCAGCUCUGUGGCUGUCCUGAAGCAUGCAGGUGGCAAGGUGCUGGAGAGCUGUGUGGAGGUGCCACUGUUGGCCAAGCCAUUCUGCGUCCCGGAAGUAUGUUACUAAGCAAUUCGUGGAGACCAUUAGCCUGACGUGGCACUUCUUUCUGGUUGAAAAGCAGUCUUACGGAGGCUGAAACCUGGCAGAGGCCAUCACUCCGUGCAGAUCCAGGACCACGGUAUGCAGAGGGCUGGGGGAUGGUAACAUCUGAAUGGGCUGAAGUUAAAGCAAAAAGAGGCUGUGGCAGAGCUGAGUUCUGGACGGAGCUCUGGAAGAAACCAAAAAGAAGGUAAGAGGACUGUACUCCCACGGCAAGGAGGCUGGAACAUCUUAAAGGCGGGAAGUGAC
rnacentral:lncRNA from 1 species